GACGAACGCUGGCGGCGUGCUUAACACAUGCAAGUCGAACGAUGAUGCUGGAGCUUGCUCCAGUUGAUUAGUGGCGAACGGGUGAGUAACACGUGAGCAAUCUGCCCUUGACUCUGGGAUAACUGCGGGAAACUGUAGCUAAUACCGGAUACUUUCACCGGAAGGCAUCUUCUGGUGAUGAAAGAAUUUCGGUCAGGGAUGAGCUCGCGGCCUAUCAGCUUGUUGGUGAGGUAACGGCUCACCAAGGCGACGACGGGUAACCGGCCUGAGAGGGUGACCGGUCACACUGGGACUGAGACGCGGCCCAGACUCCUACGGGAGGCAGCAGUGGGGAAUAUUGCACAAUGGGCGCAAGCCUGAUGCAGCAACGCCGCGUGAGGGAUGAAGGCCUUCGGGUUGUAAACCCCUUUCAGUUAGGACGAAGCUUUAUUGGUUAAUAACCAAUUGGAGUGACGGUACUUUCAGAAGAAGCCCCGGCUA
rnacentral:rRNA from 1 species